ACACAGGGCUUAAAUACACAAGGGAGGUGCAGGUGAUUGGACACAGGUGGAGACAAUCACGCAAUCACAAGACAAGGCAGGAAGUGAAGUUAACCCAGGACCACAAGGAACAUGAAACUUCAAACUAAAACAGGAAGAGGGACCAAACCGUGACACCGGUUGCCAUUAAACACAUCCCAAUUGACAAAGUCUGGUUCACACAUGAGGACAACGGAAACAUAAUCUCCAUAGAGGUCGCCAUCAUGUUGAAGCUGGCGGCCGAGUCAGAGAGGACAUGGCCAUCCCUGCUGGACUGGUAUCGGAUGGAGAGGGAGCUGGUGCUGGUGAUAGAGAGGCCGAU